rnacentral:rRNA from 1 species
GACGAACGCUGGCGGCGUGCUUAACACAUGCAAGUCGAACGGAAAGGCCCUGCUUUUGUUGGGUGCUCGAUUGGCGAACGGGUGAGUAACACGCGAGUAACCUGCCCUUGACUUUGGGAUAACUUCAGGAAACUGGGGCUAAUACCGGAUAGAGCUUCUGCUGCCUGGUGGGGGUUUGAAAGUUUCGGCGGUUGGAGAUGGACUUGCGGCUUAUCAGCUUGUUUGUGGGGUAGUGGCUUACCAAGGCUUUGACGGGUAGCCGACCUGAGAGGGUGGACGGCCACAUUGGGACUGCGAUACGGCCCAGACUCCUACGGGAGGCAGAAGUGGGAAAUAUUGCACAAUGGGCGGAAGCCUGAUGCAGCAACGCCGCGUGCGGGAUAACGGCCUUCGGGUUGUAAACCGCUUUCGCCGGUGACGAAGCGUGAGUGACGGUAAUGGGUAAAGAAGCACCGGCUAACUACGUG